rnacentral:lncRNA from 1 species
AAAAGGUGAGUGCUCUAUUGCUACACUAAAAAGGAAUCAAGUGCUCUGUUUUUGCAGUAACAUACGAAACAGAGAGAAGAGAAAGAGAAAAUCGGUGAGUGCACUGCAGUAGAUUGAGAGAGUUUUGGUCAUCAUCUUUUCGGAUUAAAUUAAUUGCUUGAAGACUUUAAUUAAUUUGAAGGUUUUGGGUGGUGAGAUAAUUUGAGUUUUCACUCAAAUUGAGGUAUUCUUGUCUUUUCUCAAUUUCUUAAUAUUUCAAGUUUUUAGUUAUAAAACUUGGAAGGACUUUGAAUUCACAGUUGAUUAUAGUGGAAUUUUUUGGAGUUUGG